UAUUACUUAGAGUGAGGCCUCCUAGUAGUUAUCUGGGAAUUUUCGGGACGUUUCUCACAUGGUUAAAAAUCGGCAGAUUUUCGGUAUGGUAAAGCCUUGGCCAUUUUUGGACCGUUUUUGGCGCAACCGUUGUGCACCCCGAACGAGCCCCACCCGACCCCUAGGCCCUGGGCUUUUUUUCUGUGUCAUACUGGGUGCAAUAUAGAUGGGUUUCCACACCUAUCCGCGGGCUAUCAUCGGCCUAAAUAGGUUGCACAAGAUCAAAGAAGCACAACUAGUCCAUGGGAAGAAAAGCAUUGGGACGAAAAUAAAAACUGAGUCCGGGCAUCUUCGAGCGGUUCUUGUGGCAAAAAAACCUUGAUAUUACUCAGAGUGAAGCCUCCUAGUAGUUAUCUGUGAAUUUUCGGGACGGUUCUCACAUGGUUAAAAAUCGGCCGAUUUUCGAGUAUAGUAAAGCCUUGGCCAUUUUUGGACCGUUUUUUGCGCAACCGUUGUGCACCCCGAACGAGCCCUAGGCCCUGGGCUUUUUUUAUGUGUCAUACUGGGUGCAAUAUAGAUGGGUUUCCACACCUAUCCGCGGGCUAUCAUCGGCCUAAAUAGGUUGCACAAGAUCGAAGAAGCACAACUAGUCCAUGGGAAGAAAAGCAUUGGGACGAAAAUAAAAACUGAGUCGGGCAUUUUCCGAGCGGUUCUUUGUGGAAAAACCUUGAUAUUACUCAGAGUGAGGCCUCCUAGUAGUUAUCUGUGAAUUUUCGGGACGGUUCUCACAUGGUUAAAAAUCGGCCGAUUUUCGGUAUGGUAAAGCCUUGGCCAUUUUUGGACCGUUUUUUGCGCAACCAUUGUGCACCCAGAACGAGCCCCACCCGACCCCUAGGCCCUGGGCUUUUUUUAUGUGUCAUACUGGGUGCAAUAUAGAUGGGUUUCCACACCUAUCCGCGGGCUAUCAUCGGCCUAAAUAGGUUGCACAAGAUCGAAGAAGCAAAACUAGUCCAUGGGAAGAAAAGCAUUGGGACGAAAAUAAAAACUGAGUCUGGGCAUCUCCGAGCGGUUCUUGUGGGAGAAAACUUGAUAUACUCAGAGUGAGGCCUCCUAGUAGUUAUCUGUGAAUUUUCGGGACGUUUCUCACAUGGUUAAAAAUCGGCCGAUUUUCGGUAUGGUAAAGCCUUGGCCAUUUUUGGACCGUUUUUUGGCGCAACCUUGUGCACCCCGAACGAGCCCCACCCGACCCCUAGGCCUGGGCUUUUUUUAUGUGUCAUACUGGUGCAAUAUAGAUGGGUUUCCACACCUAUCCGCGGGCUAUCAUCGGCCUAAAUAGGUUGCACAAGAUCGAAGAAGCACAACUAGUCCAUGGGAAGAAAAGCAUUGGGACGAAAAUAAAAACUGAGUCCGGGCAUUUUCGAGCGGUUCGUGUGGGAAAAAACCUUGAUAUUACUCAGAGUGAGGCCUCCUAGUAGUUAUAUGUGAAUUUUCGGGACGGUUCUCACAUGGUUAAAAAUCGGCCGAUUUUCGGUAUGGUAAAGCCUUGGCCAUUUUUGGACCGUUUUUUGCGCAACCGUUGUGCACCCCGAACGAGCCCCACCCGACCCCUAGGCCCUGGGCUUUUUUAUGUGUCAUAAUGGGUGCAAUAUAGAUGGGUUUCCACACCUAUCCGCGGGCUAUCAUCGGCCUAAAUAGGUUGCACAAGAUCAAAGAAACAAAACUAGUCCAUGGGAAGAAAAGCAUUGGGACGAAAAUAAAAACUGAGUCUGGGCAUCUCCGAGCGGUUCUUGUGGGAGAAAACUUUAAUAUUACUCAGAGUGAGGCCUCCUAGUAGUUAUCUGUGAAUUUUCGGGACGUUUCUCACAUGGUUAAAAAUCGGCCGAUUUUCGGUAUGGUAAAGCCUUGGCCAUUUUUGACCGUUUUUUUGCGCGAACCGUUGUGCACCCCGAACGAGCCUCACCCGACCCCUAGGCCCUGGGCUUUUUUUAUGUGUCAUACUGGGUGCAAUAUAGAUGGGUUUCCACACCUAUCCGCGGGCUAUCAUCGGCGUUAAAAAUAGGUUGCACAAGAUCAAAGAAACACAACUAGUCCAUGGGAAGAAAAGUAUUGGGACGAAAAUAAAAACUCAGUCUGGGCAUCUCCGAGCGGUUCUUGUGGGAGAAAACUUUAAUAUUGCUCAGAAUGAGGCCUCCUAGUAGUUAUGUGUGAAUUUUCGAGACGUUUCUCACAUGGUUAAAAAUCGGCCGAUUUUCGGUAUGGUAAAGCCUUGGCCAUUUUUGGACCGUUUUUUGGCGCAACCGUUGUGCACCCGAACGAGCCCCACCCGACCCCUAGGCCCUGGGCUUUUUUU
rnacentral:lncRNA from 1 species